GACGAACGCUGGCGGCGUGCCUAACACAUGCAAGUCUACGAGAAAAGGGUAGCAAUAUCCUAAGUAAAGUGGCGCACGGGUGAGUAACACGUAGGCAAUCUGCCUUUAGGACGGGAACAACCCCGGGAAACCGGGGCUAAUACCCGAUAAUGCAGCGGCACCGCAUGGUGACAGUUGUUAAAUGCCCGCAAGGGCGCCUAGAGAUGAGCCUGCGCCCCAUUAGGUAGUUGGUGAGGUAACGGCCCACCAAGCCUACGAUGGGUAGCUGAUCUGAGAGGAUGAUCAGCCACACUGGAACUGAGACACGGUCCAGACUCCUACGGGAGGCAGCAGUGAGGAAUAUUGCGCAAUGGCCGAAAGGCUAACGCAGCGACGCCGCGUGAAGGAUGAAGUCCGUUAGGAUGUAAACUUCUUUUGCAGGGGAUGAAUGUUCCGGUUUCCGGAAUUGACCGUACCUUGCGAAUAAGGAUCGGCUAACUACGUGCCAGCCGCCGCGGUAAAAC
rnacentral:rRNA from 1 species